ACUCCGCCGGCGACCGGCGCACGGGUGCGUAACGCGUAUGCAACCUACCUUUAACAGGGGGAUAACACUGAGAAAUUGGUACUAAUUCCCCAUAACAUUCGAGAAGGCAUCUUCUUGGGUUAAAAACUCCGGUGGUUAAAGAUGGGCAUGCGUUGUAUUAGCUAGUUGGUGAGGUAACGGCUCACCAAGGCAACGAUACAUAGGGGGACUGAGAGGUUAACCCCCCACAUUGGACUGAGACACGGCCAA
rnacentral:rRNA from 1 species